GAAGGAUGCAAACAAAACACCAGUCAGACUCAUACUGUGAUGCUGAAUUUGUGAUGCAAAUGAACGUUUCCUUGGAUGUGGUUAUGUUUACUUGCACUUAUUUUUUGCACUUAUUUUUGAAAUCAGAAACAUUUUUUGCCUUCAAGUGUUUGCCAAGAUUCCUUUGAAAACAAGGCAGAACAUGAUGCCAUGCAGGAAUUUUUUCCUAAGAAAAUGCGGCCAUCUGGCUGCUGAAUUAUUUGACCCCUUAUCUGUUUUGAUGUAUUUACAAUCCUUGAAGAUGAUGAGGAAAAACACAGCUUCUUCCACUAAAUGCUGUCUGUUCCUGGAUACUCUUAGCAUAAUUUGCCCUUUUGGAGACAAUCUGGAGAAAAAAAGCACAAAUUAAAAUUUCCAAUCAGCACAAUGAUAAGGAUGGGACUAUUACAAAUAUAUCAAUAAAUCAAUAAAGAUUAGGAACUUC